rnacentral:SRP_RNA from 1 species
UGUUGGUUCUCCCGCAACGCUACUCUGUUUACCAGGUCAGGUCCGGAAGGAAGCAGCCAAGGCAGAUGACGCGUGUGCCGGGAUUUAGCUGGCAGGG